UUAAUUAGCUACAUCAUUUUAAAGUCAAUUUAUCCAUCUGAUCUCGGAAGCUAAGCAGGGUCGGGUCUGGUUAGUACUUGGUUGGGAGACCACCUUGAAAGACCAGGUACUGUAGGUG
rnacentral:rRNA from 1 species